AACGAACGCUGGCGGCAUGCCUAACACAUGCAAGUCGAACGAGACCUUCGGGUCUAGUGGCGCACGGGUGCGUAACGCGUGGGAACCUGCCCUUAGGUUCGGAAUAACUCCCCGAAAGGGGUGCUAAUACCGGAUAAUGUCUUCGGACCAAAGAUUUAUCGCCUUUGGAUGGGCCCGCGUUGGAUUAGCUAGUUGGUAGGGUAAAAGCCUACCAAGGCGACGAUCCAGCUGGUCUGAGAGGAUGAUCAGCCACACUGGGACUGAGACACGGCCCAGACUCCUACGGGAGGCAGCAGUGGGGAAUAUUGGACAAUGGGCGAAAGCCUGAUCCAGCAAUGCCGCGUGAGUGAUGAAGGCCUUAGGGUUGUAAAGCUCUUUUACCCGGGAUGAUAAUGACAGUACCGGGAGAAUAAGCUCCGGCUAACUCCGUG
rnacentral:rRNA from 1 species